UACAACACAAAGAACCGAAAAGCGUCUUUCAAGCAUAUGUCCAUGGGAAGACUUGCACAAGUGCCUAUCACCCUUAUUAUCGUCCUUCUUUACACCGGCCUCCUAGCCGAAGGGGCAAUAGGAACCAACAAUACCGAGCAAGUCCGUCUAUAAUCCUUGAAGCUGAUGGGCUUAAUGCAGGAAAGCGACCUCAAGUUAUGCAGGCCAUGCCAUUGUUCCUGCAAGGACGAUAAAUGUGAUGCAACGAAAUGCUGCUAUCUGGCAAAGUGUACCACGCAACGACCUCUCACUUGUGUGCUAGACUUGAUUCAGUGCGGCAGUUGUGAUAAUUGCAAGUGA
rnacentral:rRNA from 1 species